GGAGAGUUACUCAAGAGGCUGAAGAGGGCAGGUUGCUACCUUGCUAGGCCGAAUUUUCGGCGCAUGGGUUCGAAUCCCAUACUCUCCU
rfam:Streptococcus phage SMP, complete genome.